AACGAACGCUGGCGGCAUGCCUAACACAUGCAAGUCGAACGAGACCUUCGGGUCUAGUGGCGCACGGGUGCGUAACGCGUGGGAACCUGCCCUUAGGUUCGGAAUAACUCCCCGAAAGGGGUGCUAAUACCGGAUAAUGUCUUCGGACCAAAGAUUUAUCGCCUUUGGAUGGGCCCGCGUUGGAUUAGCUAGUUGGUAGGGUAAAAGCCUACCAAGGCGACGAUCCAUAGCUGGUCUGAGAGGAUGAUCAGCCACACUGGGACUGAGACACGGCCCAGACCCCCACGGGGGGCAGGGGUGGGGAAAAUGGGAAAGGGGGCGAAAGCCUGACCCAGCAAUGCCGGGGGAGUGAUGAAGGCCUUAGGGUUGAAAAGCUCUUUUACCCGGGAUGAUAAUGACAGUACCGGGAGAAAAAACCCCGGCUAACCCCGU
rnacentral:rRNA from 1 species